GAGAGAUAUCAGUGACACCAGCAAACUACUUCCUCCGUCAACGUGUUCUCUCUUCUUCUAAAUGCAAAGCAGCCGCCGAGACUACGUGCUCCGGGGAAUAGAAUGCAUGCUCAACCGCGUUUGGAAACUGAUCUAAAUGUGGGGGUAAAAUAUAUUCUCCUUUUGCAGAUCGGAUUUAUAUGCAAAGUCAUUCUAGUGGACACAUAAAUCUAUGUCUAUCGAGGACCUACUGGUGCAAAUCAUCUCCUUUCCAUCUCUUUAGAGAAUAGCACACUAUGCCGCGUUUCCUCUCAUCACUAGAAGUGUUGCAGAAAAUUACAAGUACCUCAUGAAUCCACCUAAAGCAUGCGUGCAUUUAUUUUAAACAAAGUGCUGGACUUCAUAGACAAGGCAUUCUGCUAGCUGUAUCAGAACUGAGCUUGAUCUUUACUCAUUCCAUGGUGACCACUAGGUAGUAUAUAUUGCCAUAUUGGUAUGAGAAUAAUCAGUGUGAUGUGGAACCCAGUGUGGUUUGUCGGAUAAGCAUAAACGUGAAGCCAAAAAAGCACUGAAAAGUAUACCCAUUUUUUUAGAUAAUCAAAGAGAACUCUCAUUCUAGUACUGAAAAGUAUACAUAGUUUUUUCUUCCCUUUAGCAAACGAGUUGCAUUACAAAAGCUUUUUUUCAUGAGCUCAUGGCUUCAGCAUAUGCACCCGGGGGAAGUGCUUGGGUAGAGGUAGCUGCAGCCGGCCUGACAUACUGCGCUGGUGGUAUUGGAGUUGGGGAGCAACCACACAUGACAUAGAGGAGCUGGGGCAAUGCUAGGAAAGACAGCGAUGACGAUGCUUUGUCCUUUUGCCGUUUUGCCUACUCAAAGAAGCAUUAGGUGAGGAACAAUUAGUGUCGUCUAAGCAAGCGGUGAUCUCAUGGGCGAUCAUGUACAGCACCGAUUUUGUCGAUGAUUGUAGUAUUCGAGCGAGGAUGAGUAGUUGCGAAAACAAGUGUAAUC